AUUGAACGCUGGCGGCAUGCCUUACACAUGCAAGUCGAACGGCAGCGGGGGAGAAGCUUGCUUUUCCUGCCGGCGAGUGGCGAACGGGUGAGUAAUACAUCGGAACGUGCCCUGUAGUGGGGGAUAACUAGUCGAAAGAUUAGCUAAUACCGCAUACGACCUGAGGGUGAAAGUGGGGGACCGCAAGGCCUCAUGCUAUAGGAGCGGCCGAUGUCUGAUUAGCUAGUUGGUGGGGUAAAGGCCUACCAAGGCGAAGAUCAGUAGCUGGUCUGAGAGGACGAUCGGCCACACUGGGACUGAGACACGGCCCAGACUCCUACGGGAGGCAGAAGUGGGGAAUUUUGGACAAUGGGCGAAAGCCUGAUCCAGCAAUGCCGCGUGUGUGAAGAAGGCCUUCGGGUUGUAAAGCACUUUUGUCCGGAAAGAAAUGGCUCUGGUUAAUACCUGGGGUCGAUGACGGUACCGGAAGAAUAAGGACCGGCUAACUACGUGCCAGCCGCCGCCGUAA
rnacentral:rRNA from 1 species